GGAAUUGUUCGCAAUGGGCGCAAGCCUGACGACGCAACGCCGCGUGGAGGAUGAAGAUUUUCGGAUCGUAAACUCCUGUCGAGUGGGACGAACAGUUCGCCGGCGAACAGCCGGCGUUCCUGACGGUACCGCUAAAGGAAGCCCCGGCUAACUCCGUGCCAGCAGCCGCGGUAAUACGGGGGGGGCAAGCGUUGUUCGGAAUUACUGGGCGUAAAGGGCUCGUAGGCGGCCAGCUAAGUCAGACGUGAAAUCCCUCGGCUCAACCGGGGAACUGCGUCUGAUACUGGAUGGCUUGAAUCCGGGAGAGGGAUGCGGAAUUCCAGGUGUAGCGGUGAAAUGCGUAGAUAUCUGGAGGAACACCGGUGGCGAAGGCGGCAUCCUGGACCGGCAUUGACGCUGAGGAGCGAAAGCCAGGGGAGCAAA
rnacentral:rRNA from 1 species